rnacentral:rRNA from 1 species
GAUGAAUGCUGGCGGCGCGCCUAACUCAUGCAAGUCGAGCGGUAACAUGGACUUCGGUCUGAUGACGAGCGGCGGACGGCUGAGUAACGCGUGGGAACAUGCCCCAAAGUGAGGAAUAACUGCCCGAAAGGGUAGCUAAUGCCGCAUAUGAUCUUCGGAUUAAAGGAUUUAUCCGCUUUGGGAGUGGCCCGCGUUCGAUUAGGUAGUUGGUGAGGUAAAGGCUCACCAAGCCUACGAUCGAUAACUGGUCUAAGAGGAUGAUCAGUCAGACUGGAACUGAGACACGGUCCAGACUCCUACGGGAGGCAGCAGUGAGGAAUCUUCCACAAUGGGCGAAAGCCUGAUGGAGCGACGCCGCGUGCAGGAUGAAGGCCUUCGGGUUGUAAACUGCUUUUAUAAGUGAAGAAUAUGACGGUAACUUAUGAAUAAGCACCGGCUAACUACGUGCCAGCAGCAGCCGCA